AUGCAAAUAAGCUACAAGGGGAAUUGCCGCUUGAUAAGUGCCACCCUCCCUGAAAUUAUUGUUUUUACGCUAGGCCAGAACAUGCUUCAAGGGCACAUCCCACCUUCGCUAGGCAACGCUUCAGGGCUACAAGUGAUAGAUUUAUCAUCUAACAAUUUCAUUGGAGAAAUUCCUAGUUUUGGAAAGCUACUAAACCUUGAGUACUUAAACCUUGGGCAUAGUAUGCUUGAAUCAAGUGAAAGCCAAAGAUGGGAAUCCUUGUAUGGACUAACAAACUGUAGUAAUCUGUUUAUGCUGUCAUUAGAUAAUAAUCAGCUGCAAGGAGCCAUACCGGAUUUGGUCGGUAAGUUGUCCACUCACCUUACAAGUCUACACCUGAGUGGAAACAACCUAUCAGGAAUUGUUCCUUCAAGCCUAGCAAACCUGACUAGCAUAAUCGAUUUGGAUCUUAGCAACAACAGUUUAACUGGUACAAUUGAAGGAUGGUUAGGGAGUCUCAAAAACUUACAAUCUUUAGAUCUUCAUGGAAAUAAUUUCGUCGGGUUCAUCCCACCAUCUUUUGGCAACCUUUCAGAACUAACUAUACUUUCUUUAGCACAAAAUGAAUUUAAAGGUCACAUACCUUCCACAUUGGGAAAACUUUCACAACUUUCAAGGCUGGACCUUAGCUAUAAUAAUCUGCAAGGUGACAUACGUCCAGAAAUUAGUGAGCUUAAACAACUCAUUGCACUAUAUCUCUCUUCUAGUAGACUUUCGGGAAAAAUUCCAGAUGAUCUGGGCAAGUGUCAGGGCCUCGUAACCAUCCAAAUGAACCACAAUAAUCUCACAGGUGUCAUUCCAACCUCUUUGGGCAACCUUUUGAGCUUGGAGAUGCUCAACCUGUCCUAUAAUGAUUUAUCAGGUGUCAUCCCAACAGUUCUAAGUGACCUUCAACUUCUUAGCAAGUUAGACCUAUCUUAUAAUCGUCUCCAAGGAGCAAUCCCAAGAAACGGAGUGUUUGAGCACCCCGCAAACGUUUCACUUGAUGGCAACCAGGGACUUUGUGGACGGGCAACCGGUUUCCAUGUGCCCUCAUGCCCAGAUGCCUCGCCAAGAACAGGAAGACACUAUCGUUUGAUUACAGUGUUGAUCCCAAUAAUUGGCUUCCUGUCGCUGGCACUGUUGACUUGCUUUAUAAUCCAUGAGAAGAUACCACAAGCAACAUUUUCAUUGUUGCCUUCUCUCGGGGAGAAAUUCCCUAGAGUUUCUUACUGGGAUCUAGCUCGAGCGACAGGCAACUUCUCUGAGAUUAACUUGAUUGGCGAAGGAAGUUACAGUUCAGUGUACAAAGGAAAGUUGAAACAAGUUAAAACGGAAAUAGCAGUCAAGAUACUUGACCUUGACAUUCCAGGUGCCGAAGGAAGUUUUGCAUUAGAAUGCAAAGCGUUGAGAGGCAUUCGUCACAGAAACAUUGUUCCUCUCAUAACUGAAUGCUCUGCGAUUGACAGCAAAGGCAAUGCUUUCAGAGCUCUAAUCUAUGUUUUCAUGCCCAAUGGGAACUUGGACACUUGGUUGCAUCAUCAAGAGAAUCAGGCAGCCGGAAGGCAUUUAGGCCUAGCUGAAAGAAUAAGCAUAGCUACUAACAUAGCAGAUGCAUUGGACUAUUUGCAUCAUGAUAGCGGGAGGCCCAUCAUCCAUUGUGAUCUGAAGCCCAGUAACAUACUCCUAGACAUUCAUAUGAAUGCUUGUCUGGGAGAUUUUGGCAUCGCGAGGUUCUACAUUGAUUCUAAACUGAGAACAGUCGGAGAUUCUAAUUCAGUUACUGUAAACGGAACUCUGGGAUAUAUGGCUCCAGAGUAUGCUGAAAGCGGUCAUGCAUCUACUUGUGGGGACGUAUAUAGUUUUGGAAUUGUACUUUUGGAGAUGUUGACAGGAAAAAGACCAACGGAUGAUAUGUUCAGGAAUGAACUCACCAUCGUUAGAUUUGUGGAAACAAAUUUUCCUGAUCACACAUUAAAUUUUCUGGAUUCCUGUCUGCCAGAUGAAUGCAAUGAUGCCGUCAACCAAGUAGCAGCAGGACCGGAAAAUCCAACGAUCUUUCAGUCCUUGUUAUCUUUACUACGGAUAGCGCUUCUUUGUACACGCCAAUCCCCAACUGAACGGCUUAACAUGAGAGAAGUAGCUACCCAAAUGCGCAAAAUCAACAUGGUGAACACGGGAGGGAGAGUAAGGAGCUCAACUUCUUUUAAGAGAUUUGUCAGCUGGGCUUCUCAAAGGAGCUGA
rnacentral:rRNA from 1 species